GCGGCCGCAGUGGAAGGAGCGGGCGCUUGAGCUCGAGCGACGGCGCUGGCGGAGACGCCGGCUGCUCCUCCCCUCCCCGCCGGUAUUAAUCUCUGGAGAAGACACAUCCACAGUUAGCACUUUCUUCAGAUGCUGACGCUCGGUGAACAGUUGCCCUUGGUCACAAGAUUUAGAAGACAUAGUGUCCAUCCUCCCAGACUGGAUCUCUUUUUCAUACGGAUCUUCUGUUCCUAUGUCUUUUUUAAAAAUAACUUUUUGGGAAACCUUUUGGAUUACAACUGUUCAUCCUCACCUAUGCAAAGAAAGGGAAGCUAUUGCUGGGAUUUUGAGGAGGUAGGAUGAAUUGGACAAGGAUGAGACUCGUGUAGGUGAGGACAGUUGGAAGGAUCAUGAUGUUGUAAUCUUGGAGUUAGGUGAAACAGCUUUUCCUAAAAGGAUUGUACACCUUAGAAGUGCUUAAGGAAGAGUGAUGAAGAUAGGCAUGAAGCCUUCGUCUCACAGCUGCAUGCGUAGUCACUGUUGAAGCAAAUGCC
rnacentral:sRNA from 1 species